GCCACCAACAUCCGGCUUCUUCAAUCUCUCUAAGCUAAGUGAAAAGGUUGUGACGAGGGUGUGUAGAGCGCGGUAUAAAAUAGUUAAAAUAGAGAUAAAAUUUGUAGUUUUUUCCCGCAAGUGUGUGCAAAUCAUUUUCUAGAUAGGAGGAACACUUUAAAACAGAACCGACCAUGUCGUCGGAACAAUUUUCCCUAUGUUGGGACAACUUCCACAAGAAUAUGAGUUCUGGCAUGAACUCAUUGUUGGAGAAUGAAGACUUGGUGGACGUGACGCUUGCCGUGCAGGGAAAAUGUCUGAAAGCCCACAAAAUGGUUCUUUCUGUGUGUAGUCCCUAUUUCAAAGAACUUUUUAAAUCAAAUCCUUGUAAACACCCCAUAGUAUUUAUGAAAGACGUUAGUUACGAAGCUUUAAGUGAUCUAUUGCAAUUUAUGUAUCAAGGGGAGGUUCAAGUGAGCCAAGAAAAUUUAACCACGUUCAUUAAGACUGCCGAGGCCUUACAAAUUAAGGGGCUCACUGGAGACGGAAAUGGCUCAACUGACAGUGACGUUGUGGAAGUACCUGCAGAAAAACGUACUCCACACGUGGAGGAUUACAAGCCAGUUUCUGUACCUAGACCAAAGAAACAACAACCUCCUCCCGCCCCAAUGUCAUCCCCUUCUGUGAAGAGACAAAGACUGAGUGCUUCAACUAGUGAUACCCAACCCUUACCCCCUCCUGUUACAAAAGUGGAACCCAUUGCCCCUCCUCAACCUGUUCCUAUUUCAACACCCGAAUCUUCACCUCUACAUUUUAAGACAGAACCCUAUGAACAGUCAGUCAGCCUUCUAGAUGAGACAGGUGAUGACACUUUUAACGAAGAUACACUGGAUGAGACUGUAGGCGAUGACAAUGAAGAUUACUCUAUGAUGGAAAGUGGUAGUGGAGAAGAACCACAGGCAGGAACUAGUACUGAUGGAGCAGGCGAAGGACAAGGAUUUUAUGAAUUUAUUCGAGAUGACUCCAAAGAAUCUUUAAUACUUCAUGGACAAGUUUACCAAUUCAUAAAAGAAAACGGCGGAAUUAAAUUUUGGCAGUGUUUUAAACAACAAUGUGAGGCGAUGUGCCAAACCAAGAAUGGAAAACUUAUCGUUAGGCAAGGAUUACAUGAUCAUAGUGUGCCUAGAAAAUAUAUUGCUAAAAUGCGAGAAGAAAAGAAAAUCAUUAAGAAGAAAUUGUAGUGUUUGUUCUGUAUAACUGUAAAAAUAUACAGAGUGAGUUUUAUGUACGGAACGCCUUAAUUAUCUUGGAAACGGUUUGUAUGAUUUUUAUAGAUUUUGGUGUGUAAAGGUCUUUGAUGCGGUCGAUAUUAUGGUGCUAUUUACAUUGUUAUCAGAUCUUCCGUGUUUCUGAAAAUCUUAUGAAUUUUCUUAUUUUAAAUAGAACACCCUGUAUAUUUUCACGUAUAUUUCCUAUACCUAAAUGCCAUAAUUUCGGAGUUAUUUGCUAAAUGUACAAAAAUUUGCCGCCGGCAAAGCGGCAAGUGAGUAAGUGAGCAAGACGAUGCUGUCGUCACAUUCCAUUCCUGAGAGUCGUUCGGUAAAUGAGUUGUGAGGACAUUGGAGAGGAACUGAUGUGAACACCUCACUCGCGUCAAUAUGGUUUUUCGGGCUAUAUUUCCGGCAGCGGCAGCAGCAGUGGCGAUGGCUGAGUAUAAAUCCGGCAUUAAUGGCCAACGUUCGCAAGGGGCAGGGCACUUGAAGAAGAAGUACUUUGAAAAAACAUUUGAACAAAGUUAUAAAAAUCAAUUUUUCGAUCCAGCCAGAUAUUAUUUCAAGUUUUUCGGAACAAACAAGGUCCGUGUAAUUUUUCUCUAAAGUUGAUCGUUUUCGAGUUAUAAACAAUUUAAAACUGCAAAAAAACGAAAAACGACGAUUUUCAAGGCUCACAAGCUUCUUUCUCAUAAUCCUUAGUGCCCUUCAGGGCGUCGGAUGUCGGGUUCCGCCUUUUAUCCACUUCUUCCAAUUGCUUCUAUUGGUGGCCAGGUUCUUCAUAUCCCUCAUACUCAUGUGUCUCCUUUUACCUAUAUCCUGGAUCUGGCCCAUCCAUGUCUUCCUCGGCCUUCCCUUUUUUCUUUUGUUUUCCAUUUUGGCUUCAUGUACCUUCUUUGUAAGUCUUUUUUGCUCCAUUCGUUGUAUGUGUCCAAACCAGCUUAUCGGUUCUUGUUCCAGCUCUCUUCUUAUAUCUUCAUUUCUGAAUCUAUCAAACUUCGUAACUCCAGCUAUUCUUCUCAUGUAUUUCAUCUCGGUCGCGUUUAUCAUUGAUUCAUGUUUCUUUUGCACAAUCCAUGUUUCCGCCCCAUAUGCCAUUAGCGGAUUUACUAUGCUGUUAUAUACUCUGAGUUUAGUUUUGUUGUUUAUUUCUGAUUUUCCAAAAAUUGUAUUAUUUAAAGAGUAAUACACGUUAGUUGCCUUCUUCAGUUUAUUACUUAUUGCCAAGUCCGUUUUCCCACCAUCUGUUAUUAUAUUUCCCAAAUAUUCAAAAGUAGAUACGUGUUCUAUUACUUGUUCCCUUACUAUUAUAUUAGUAUUCCUUUUCGUUUUUCUCAUCUUCAUUUAUUAUCAUAAGUUUAGGCUCACAAGCAAAAGUAAAAAAAUAUUAUUUUUGAAAUAAUAUUGUGCCUAAAUAUAACGAAGUGCCUAAAUUAGUUCAAACCUAAUUAUAUCAGUUACCGAUAACUAUUUUGGGCUUAUUUUUAGUUGUUAAUGAAGCCCAAUCUCACGUUCUCGCAUAAGCGCUUUAUUAUAAAUUAAAAACAAUAUUUUAGAAUAAAACAGGCCAACAAUUCUUAUCGGGAGCUGAUAGAAAAAAGUUUAGAAGGAUAACAGUUUUUAUCGCCAACCGUCACCAAAGUCGUUCAUUAUUGUACUCAUUUGCCCUCAUUUGCGGCAGUAAAAUAACACUUUAUUCUACUGAAAAAAGAAGUGCUUUACCUGCCACGAUUAUUAAUCAAAUUAACCGAGAUUGAAUGUAAGUGGUCUAUGGCAGUAAUCGAUUAUUUAUUUGAGUGAACUUAAAAUUUAUUUACUUUAAUUAUUACAAAUGUACAAAAUUUACGUAAUUAUUAAUUAAAUUUAUCUCAAAAACUGAAAUUCUUAAUAUUUUGCAAUUAUAUUCAUACAAAAUAAAUGAAAACUUUAUAGAUUUAGUAAUUAUUCAAUAUUAAUAACAACUAUCGAUUAAACAUCGAAACCGGCCAUUAUGCAAAAACCAUCUGUCAUUACAGUCAUACGAAAUUUUUAUAUCGUCUAAAUUAAAAAAAAAUCUUAAAUCUUUUAAGUUAAUGCAAAUAAAGUGAGAAAUAGUGAUUUUGUUAAUUGGAUUAUAAUAUAUAGGACUGUGAUAGAUGUUUACUGAUAAUUUGGCAGUAAAUAUAUUUAUUUAGAUUUUCUACGAUUCAUCAAGGGAAAAGUAAUUGCGGGGAGGCUACAGUUCAUAAACAAUGACGUAACUGUUAACGUUAUUUUUAAUUUUUGGUAUUAUUUUAAGUAUUAAAAUUAGUUUAAUAUUUAAAUAAAAAUACCAUUUAAUUCUUUAAAAUAUAUUUAUUUCGUUGAAAUCAUAAUAAUAGAGGUAUAACUUCUUACGUGCAUAGAAAGUACACACACAUUAUUUUUUCAUUAGAAGGAUGUAAUUAAGUAAGUGUUAAGUAAGUGUUAAUGUUUUUUAUGAUUGAUAAAAUUUUGUAUGCACCACGUCAGUAAAGACUCUUCAUCGAACUCGUUUGAUAAAGAGCCACUUUACUGACUUGGUGCAUAUAUUUGUACUUUGGUACAUAUAUAACUAUUACUUGUGUUUUUGAGCCUCGAAAAUCGUAAUUUUUCGUUUUUUCCAGUUUUAAUUUGUUUAUAACUCGAAAACGAUCAAUUUUAGAGAAAAGUUAGUAGAGAAGUUUAUGUUUCGAAUGGUCCAAAAAUCUAGAAUACUAUCUACGCGGGCCUAAAAAAAUAUUUAAAAAGAAUUAUUGUUUAAGGAAAUGUAGCAAUAACUCCGAAAUUAUCGUAGUUAGGUAUAGGGAACAUUAUAUGAAAAAUAAUCAGUAUUUCUUAAGGACUUAAAAAACUGAAGAUCUGGCAACAACGUAAAUACCACCACAAUAUCGGCCGCAUCACAAGACAUACCAAAUAAUUUAUUAAUCUUGCAAACCGUUUUCGACCUAAUUGACGCGUUCCAUAUAUAAACUGUUCUGCAAAUUUUCAAUAGGAAACAAACUGAAGUGUAACAAGCUAUCGUGAGACUCAUUAAUAUUCAAUUGAGCAGGGUACUAUUGUACAAGUCAUGAUAUUCCAUAAAGAAGGAAUUUACCUGUUUUAUGGAAUGAUCCCUUGUUUGUAAUAUUUCGCACUUCGAAUAAUAAUAUCCCGCUGAACUGAAUAUUAAUGAGUCUCUUAGAUAACUUGUUAGACUAGGGACAAGGUAUUGAUAUACAUUGUUUUAGAAAAAAAUUGUUUUUCAAACAUUCCACAAACUUUCUUGUAACAUGCACAAGCAAACGAAAACAUUGUUUAAACGAAUGUUUUGCCGAAUUUGUGACAGGAAAUCUUUAUCUUAAUCUUAUUGUUAAUCUUAAUCUUCAAGUAACUUCAAGUAUGUUCGCUUUUGUUUCCUUGAUUUUUUUUUCGUAAUUUCCGUGAUACUGCAUAAAAAUUUAAAAUCCAGUACAGUAAAACCUCGAUAUAACGGACUAAUUGGGGAAAAUUGUCCGUUAAAGCCGAAAGUCCGUUAUAUAAAAAUAGGUUUAAAAUAAAUCUGACUAUUUAGACAUGUGUCCUCAUUAUGCUAUAAUAAAAAGUUUAUUGAAAUUCUUUGUAAAAUAUAGCGUUUGGAUCCACGAGGACCCCGUUUUUAUGCAAUGUAUCUUGGUAUGGGCAGGGUUAUGUAUGUAUAAUAUUAACAGGACGUUUUUAAUUUGUUUACAUUUGACCGGAUUUUUGGUCCGUUACAUCCGAAGUCCGUUAAAUAGAGGUGCGUUAUAUCGAGGUUUUACUGUAGUUGGCUCGAUACCAUAGUUUAGAAACUUACAAUGAAAUAAAAAAACCUCCAAUGCAUGAUAGAUCCGAAUGGAUUACAAUUUUUCAGAACGUUUUCGGUCCAGUUUUCAGACUAUCAUCAGUGAAACAUUCUAUUAGUACCUAGUUGAACCUAGGCCACAUUUUGGUUAAUAAAGCCUUUAAAUUGCAUUGUAAUAAUAGUAAAUUGUAUCAUUGAUAUGGCACUAGGUCGGUGUUAAAGGGAACAUAUACAGGGUGUAUCAUUAAGGAUGUCCAAUUUCUGAGUUAUAAAUUCUAGACCUCAAAAUAUUAAGAUUUAAUCCAAACCAUUUAAAUAAAAUAUGGCUCCUUACUGAGUUACAUGGUGCUCUAUUUAAAAAUUUAAAAACUAUUUUUACCCAGUACUUUAAAACUAUUUGACGUAUCCUUAUCAUACUUGGCAAAAAGUGUGGCUACUAUAAACGCUAGUAAAUUAUGAUAGAUCAACGUUUCUAGCUACUAGCUCAUGCGUACGACGGGAUAGUGAAUGGUUGACCCUUCCCAAAUUCUACGUCAAUGGGGGAAUUACUAUUUUAGCACAAUUUUUAGAUUUUCCAAUACUUUCUAUGUAAAUAAUAUACUCUUCAUUGGGACCGAUAAAGUCAAUAGUUUUCGAGAUAUUUUAAAUUAAAAAUGAAACGGCACAGCUAUUUUGAUUAACGUUCAUAUUGUGUCGCUUCAUUUUUAACUUCAGAUAUCUCGAAAACUGAUGAUUUUAUCGUUAUGAAUGAAGAGUAUAUUAUGUAUUAUAAAGUAGUUUAUACUUCAUUUACUUCAUGAAGAGUAUAUUAUUUACAUAUAAAAUAUUGGAAAAUCUAAAAAUUACACUAAACUAACAAUUCCGUCAGUGGCGUAGAAUUCGGGAAGGGUCAACCAGUCACUUUCCCCUGUCGUACGCCUCCGGUAGUAGCCGGAAACGAUUAUUUAACAUAAUUUAGUAGGUUAUGAUAAGGAUACGUUAAACAGUUUUUAAGUACAGGGUACAAAUAGUUUUUAAAUAUUUAUCAUAUCAUAAAUUAAUGGAAAUAACUGUGCCGUUUCAUUUUUAACUUCAAAUAUCUCGAAAACUAAUGACUUUAUAGCUACCAACAAAGAGUAUAUUAUUUACAUAGAAAGUAUUGUAGAAUCUACAAAUUGUGCUAAAAUAGUAAUUCCCCCAUUUUCGUAGAAUUUGGGAAGGGUUAACCAUUCACUAUGCCCUGUCGUACGCCUCUGGUAGUAGCUAGAAACGUGUAUUUAUCAUAAUUUAGUAGGGUGUAUAGUAGCCACACUUUCUGCCAAGUAUGAUAACGAUACGUCAAAUAGUUUUAAAGUACUGGGUAAAAAUACUUUUUAAAUUUUAAUAAAACACGUUGUAACUCAAUAAGGAGCCAUAUUUUGUUUAAGUGAUUUGGGUCAAAUCUUAAUAUUUUGAGGUCUAGAAUCUACAACUCAGAGAUUGGACAUUCUUAAUGAUACACCCUGUAUAUGCUCCUGCUCGAAAAAAGCGCAGUUCGCCCGAUGAGUGAUACAAACCAACAACUUAUUUGCAACACUUAGGCUCGUACAUAUAAGGGCGGUUUGUCAACGUUGACGUCGCAGUUUACCUGAAAAACCCAACCUCCGCGGUUCAAGUUAACAUAGAAACAAAUGCAGUCGCUCAACAUCGUACAUAUGCAACCACCAGUUUACCUGCGUUUAAACUGGUAAAUCGCGGCGUCGACGUUGGCAAACCGCUCUUAUAUGGGUAAAAAUCGGUGAAAAAUGGGACAUCUUGGAUUUUAAAGCACCCUAUGUAACGCACAGCCGGCACAGCUGAAUGUGGCUGAAUUUUUAUGUUUAUGCAUCACAGUGUUGCCAUGCUGUUUUUUAUAUAUUUCUUUCAUAAUUUCAAUCAAUGUUAAAUGUACCUACAAGAAUAAUAGAAUAAUAACAUUUACUUCUCCGUCAUUAUACUAGGUAUAAUGACAAAUGAGGUGUCAAAUUAAAGCUUAUAAUCCAAGGAUAGUACUAAAGGUAAGAAAUUAGACUAGAUUGUCUGUCCGUCUGUCUGUCUGACCGCGAAUAUAACUCCUCCGUCACUAUACCAGGUAGAAUGACAAAUGAGGUGUCAAAUGAAAGCUUAUAAUCCAAGGAUAGUACUGAAGGUGAGAAAUUUGACAUAGGUUGUCUGUCCGCCUGUCCGUCCGACCGCGAAUAUAACUCCUUCGUCACUAUACCAGGUAGAAUGACAAAUGAGGUGUCAAAUGAAAGCUUAUAAUACAAGGAUGGUACUAAAGGUGAGAAAUUUGACAUAGGCUGUCUGUCCGUCCGACCGCGAGUAUAACUCAUCCGUCACUAUACCAGGUAGAAUGACAGAUGAGGUGUCAAAUGAAAGCUUAUAAUACAAGGAUCGUACUAAAGGUGAGAAAUUUGACAUAGGCUGUCUGUCCGUCUGUCCUUCCGACCGCGAGUAUAACUCAUCCGUCACUAUACCAGGUAGAAUGACAAAUGAGGUGUCAACUGAAAGUUUAUAAUCCAAGGAUAGUAGUAAAGGUGAGAAAUUAGACCUAGGUUGUCUGUCUGUCUGUCCGCGAAUAUAACUCCUCCGUCACUAUACCAGGUCGGACGGACAGGCGGACAGACAGCCUAUGUCAAACUUCCCAUCUUUAGUACCAUCCUUGGAUUAUAAGCUUUCAUUUGACACCUCAUUUGUCAUUCUACCUGGUAUAAUGACGGAGGAGUUGAGUUUGCAAACAGACAGACAAGACGUACGGACGGACAGACGGACGUGGACAAUUCAAUGUUACAUUUUUUCAAAGUGAAAACAACAACAUAAUAAACUUUACUUAAUUGGUGUUUCAAAACUACUUACUUUUAACACAUUAGGUACACAAUAUUACAAGGUUUCUAGCAAGUUAAACGUCACAAUAAUUUAAAAUAAUCAAGUAAAAACCUAUAUAUACAUAACAUAUUAGAACAUACCUAAAAUACACAAAAAUGAUACAUUUCACACACAAAUAUAAUAUCACAAAAAAUUGUAACGUGAUAGUAUGAAAAAAUAGAGGAUACGGCAACGGUGUUACAUGUGACGGUCGGCCCGGGUCGGAUUCAAUGCCAAUAUCUACACAGACGUAUUAGGGUGCUUUAAUAUCCAAGAUGUCCGAAAAAUGAAUGGGUAAAGUUCAGGCGAAUAUUAGUUAAAUAUUAGUAGGCAAUACGGCAAAGAGAAUUGAUGGCGUUUUAAAAUGUAAGGGUUCUCCGCACAGUGGUAGUGCUGACUAAAUAUUUGGUCCAAUUCAUUUGUGCCAGACGUUACUUUUUCUUUUAGUUUAUUUUAUGAUUAUCAUAGUUAAAAAUAGUCUUAGAUAUUAAGAUAUUAUUGAAUAAUUGGUAAUCUCUAUUGGAAACACUAACUCUGACAAAAGGAACAAUAAAUAAAAUAAGAGUUACACACCUCGUUAUGGAAAGAUCAAUGUAGGUGCUGCCAUCAGAGAUCAAAUACGAAACCCAGAAAUAAGAAGAAGAACAGGAGUCAUGGAUAGCGAUGGCUAAAUCGGUUUGGGUCGAACAAGUUGCCAGAUUGACGGAUGAUAGAUGGACUAGAAAAGUUCUGGAAUGGCGACCAAGUCAAGAUGCAUUUGGAGGCAGACGACGAUCACGCGACUAGACGAACGGAUGAUAUAAAUCGCAUCACCACAAAUUGGAUGCAAGAAGCUUAAGAUAGAAAUAAGUGCAAUAUUUAACGGGACGCCUACGUUCAACAGUGGACAAAUACAUGUAGGCUAAUUGACGAGUGGCCCCUUUGAAAACUAUGGGGAAUUCUUACUUGCGUUUCUUCAUUGUAAUUUAAUAAGCGUGACGAGUUUCUAUGCAAGUUGUUAAAAUAUGAAAUUUGUUAUAUAAGUAUCACGUUUGAUCUGAUGCCCCCUGCUGAAAAUUUCCAGAACAACACUACGUAUAUUUAGAGAAUUAAAUAGUUAUCAGUGAUUCAUUUCGAAGUUCGUGGAUCAUUACGGAAUUUGAGGAGAAAUGGUAGUAAAUUCAGUGGCGCGCCAUUUAGACGCAAUGGCGUCUAAAUUUAUACUAUAAUUUUACGUGUACAAUUCUAUAUUGUUAUAAUUAUGCUAUUAUUUUGGGAAGCAAUAAGUAACAUUGUAUGCAACAAUUCCCUGCCAACUAUUUCGGUCUUUGAGUGUAUACCUCUUUUUGCCACAAUAGUUCUUAAUAAAAAAAUACUGUAAAGAGCAAUUUUAUAAGGUAUUAUUAUUCCGUAUUAUUUUUAAUUUUGAGAUCUUGAUUUAUGUGCAUCGUUUUAUGUCGUUAAUUUAUUGAUUUUAGUUUUAAUAAAUGUGAGUCUCAAAAUACACUGGUUGAUAUAUUAUUAUAGUAGGGGAGGAACGUAUGCUGAAUUUGCAGUUACUCGAGCGUUAUGGGGACCUAUUGGGUUGUGAUUAUUAGGUGCUAAAACCAAAAAAGGUAAGUUUUCCAUUUUAGUGGGGACUUUCCAUUGUUUAUUUAAUUUUCCAUUUCCAACAAUCGUUUUCACCGAUUAUAGUGCCAUCUAUCCAUAAUUCGAAAAAAUGUCUCGAAUAAAAGUUGCUUAUUUUUACGUAAGGAAUCCAAAUCUGCAAUAAAAAUUUGGGGCUCCUAUUUAAGAUUUUUAAGUAACCCCCCACCCCACCUCCGUGGGAGUCGUGUUUGAUACCAUUCGAUAGAUUUUCCAAAAAUUAAUAGUUAAGUGUAUUUUGCAGAUUUUCGAUCUGAUGUUCAUUUCGAGAAAUAUCGCGGGUUCGUAUUUAAAAUUUUAAAUUUACCCCCACCCCUCUCCGUGAUUGUCGUGUUUGGUAUCAUUCGAUAGAUUUUUGAAAAAUAUUGAACACGUUUUUUUAGGUUUUUGAUCUGACGUUCAUUUCGCUAAAUAUUCGCUUUUGUUUUGUGAAACUUUUUCGCACAUUUUCUUACGGCCCGCUCAAAUCGUCAAAUUUCUGAAAUAUACACUCUUGCAUGUAUACUUCGUCUAAUUUACUUACCGUUGCACGUCAUCCGCGUCAUAGACUGUGACGUCACAUGAUACCAACACGACAUAUUUAGGCGGUAGGUGUGUUUUUUUAGAAUCAUUUUGCCGAGUACACUGGAAUAACAGCCACUAGACAUAUUUUAUUAUAUACGCUUAGAUAUAAUAUUUGAAUAUUUCUAUUAAUGUUAACUUAAAGAAAUACACAAUAAUAUGUUUCAAUUUAAUUUGUAUAAAUGGAUUAUAAAGCGUUUUUAUAAAGCACAUUUGUUCGGAACACACUGAAACUGUAAUCGAACGAAGGUGAAAUUGUAGAAUAAAUUGGUAACAUUUAUUUGACAGUUGCGGUGAUGACACUUCAUAUUUGUUUAUAUUCUUUACUAUAAGUGUUUGUUUUAUUAUAUUUACUGUUUUUAUUAUUUACUUUAACGUAAGAUUAUAACUUAAUUCUUGUUCUAUAUUUUUUAAGUUUUUAUUUAUUUGCAUUGAAUAUUAAUUUGUUUUGUUGUAUAAUGCACGUUUACAAUAAUUAUGUGAUCUAUUUGAUUUAAAUGCAUUCAGGAUUUUUUUAUACUUUGGCAACUGUCAACUUAGAUCUCUGGCGUAGACAAUGACGUGCAACGGUAAGUAAAUUAGACGGACUGUACUUAACUUACCUUAUCUUAAACUGACUAUUUCGAGUUUUUGUAAGGAUAUAAUUUUUUUUCGGACUCACCUUAACGAACUCCCCGUGUUAAGAGCCAAUUUAUGGUAGAGGUACAUCUGCAGGGUACCAGGUUUCUCCCUAUAUGAUAAUCUGAAGCGCUCGAGUAACUGCAAAAAUCCCCGCUUGGGCUCCCCUACCAUUACGUAUAGUACCUACUUAAUUUGAUGAACAUUUUUAUGUAAUAGAUUAGAGUUAGAAGUUUUACUGUUAAUUUUAUUUGGAUUACCGUGUGAUGGGUACCAGGUGACGGGUCACACGUUUUUAUAACUUAUAACUCGUUUUUUAUAAGGUAAAUAAAAUCAGCUAUGUGCAAAAUCUGAAUCUUUUAAUAAUAAAGCAAUUUUAUUUAAA